CGCCGCGUGAGGGAUGACGGCCUUCGGGUUGUAAACCUCUUUCAGCAGGGAAGAAGCUUUUGUGACGGUACCUGCAGAAGAAGCACCGGCUAACUACGUGCCAGCAGCCGCGGUAAUACGUAGGGUGCGAGCGUUGUCCGGAAUUAUUGGGCGUAAAGAGCUUGUAGGCGGUUUGUCGCGUCUGCUGUGAAAAUUCAGGGCUUAACCCUGGACGUGCAGUGGGUACGGGCAGACUGGAGUAUGGUAGGGGAGACUGGAAUUCCUGGUGUAGCGGUGGAAUGCGCAGAUAUCAGGAGGAACACCGAUGGCGAAGGCAGGUCUCUGGGCCAUUACUGACGCUGAGAAGCGAAAGCAUGGGGAGCGAACAGGAUUAGAUACCCUGGUAGUCCAUGCCGUAAACGUUGGGCGCUAGGCGUGGGUCUCAUUCCACGAGAUCCGUGUCGCAGCUAACGCAUUAAGCGCCCCGCCUGGGGAGUACGGCCGCAAGGCUAAAACUCA
rnacentral:rRNA from 1 species